rnacentral:rRNA from 1 species
CGGAUCCGCGCCGCUGCAGAGUUUGAUCCUGGCUCAGGAUGAACGCUAGCGGCAGGCUUAACACAUGCAAGUCGAGGGGCAUCGCGGAGUAGCAAUACUCUGGCGGCGACCGGCGGAAGGGUGCGUAACACGUGAGCAACUUGCCCGUCACAGGGGGAUAAGCGCUGGAAACGGCGUCUAACAUCCCAUAACAUAUUGUAUCGCAUGGUAUGAUAUUGAAAACUCCGGUGGUGACGGAUGGGCUCGCGGGGCAUUAGGUAGACGGCGGGGUAACGGCCCACCGUGCCGACGAUGUCUAGGGGUUCUGAGAGGAAGAUCCCCCACACUGGGACUGAGACACGGCCCAGACUCCUACGGGAGGCAGCAGUGAGGAAUAUUGGACAAUGGGGGCAACCCUGAUCCAGCCAUGCCGCGUGCGGGACUAAGGCCCUAUGGGUCGUAAACCGCUUUUGUUGGGGAGCAAUAAGGCGUACGCGUACGCCGAUGAGAGUACCUGGCGAAUAAGCAUCGGCUAACUCCGUGCCAGCAGCCGCGGUAAUACGGAGGAUGCGAGCGUUAUCCGGAUUUAUUGGGUUUAAAGGGUGCGCAGGCGGAACUGUAAGUCAGUGGUGAAAUACCCGCGCUCAACGUGGGCCGUGCCAUUGAUACUGCGAUUCUGGAGUACUGUUGCCGUGGGAGGAAUGGGUAGUGUAGCGGUGAAAUGCAUAGAUAUUACCCAGAACACCGAUUGCGAARGCAUCUCACGAAGCAGUCACUGACGCUGAGGCACGAAAGCGUGGGGAUCGAACAGGAUUAGAUACCCUGGUAGUCCACGCAGUAAACGAUGAUGGCUAACCGUCGGCGAUAGACAGCCGGUGGCCAAGCGAAAGCGAUAAGCCAUCCACCUGGGGAGUACGACCGCAAGGUUGAAACUCAAAGGAAUUGACGGGGGCCCGCACAAGCGGAGGAACAUGUGGUUUAAUUCGAUGAUACGCGAGGAACCUUACCCGGGCUCGAACGGCUGGUGAACGACCCAGAGAUGGGGAGGCCCUUCGGGGCGCCAGUCGAGGUGCUGCAUGGUUGUCGUCAGCUCGUGCCGUGAGGUGUCGGCUCAAGUGCCAUAACGAGCGCAACCCUUGCCGUCAGUUACCAGCACGUAGAGGUGGGGACUCUGGCGGGACUGCCACCGCAAGGUGUGAGGAAGGGGGGGAUGGCGUCAAAUCAGCACGGCCCUUACGUCCGGGGCGACACACGUGUUACAAUGGUGGGUACAGAGGGGCGCCAUACAGUGAUGUAGAGCAGAUCUCAAAAACCCAUCUCAGUUCGGAUCGGAGUCUGCAACCCGACUCCGUGAAGCUGGAUUCGCUAGUAAUCGCGCAUCAGCCAUGGCGCGGUGAAUACGUUCCCGGGCCUUGUACACACCGCCCGUCAAGCCAUGAAAGCCGGGGGCGCCUGAAGUCCGUGACCGAGAGGAGCGGCCUAGGGCGAAACUGGUAAUUGGGGCUAAGUCGUAACAAGGUAA